CCUACGGGAUGCACCAGUGGGGAAUAUUGCACAAUGGGCGCAAGCCUGAUGCAGCCAUGCCGCGUGUAUGAAGAAGGCCUUCGGGUUGUAAAGUACUUUCAGCGGGGAGGAAGGUGUUGAGGUUAAUAACCUCAGCAAUUGGCGUUACCCGCAGAAGAAGCACCGGCUAACUCCGUGCCAGCAGCCGCGGUAAUACGGAGGGUGCAAGCGUUAAUCGGAAUUACUGGGCGUAAAGCGCACGCAGGCGGUCUGUCAAGUCGGAUGUGAAAUCCCCGGGCUCAACCUGGGAACUGCAUUCGAAACUGGCAGGCUAGAGUCUUGUAGAGGGGGGUAGAAUUCCAGGUGUAGCGGUGAAAUGCGUAGAGAUCUGGAGGAAUACCGGUGGCGAAGGCGGCCCCCUGGACAAAGACUGACGCUCAGGUGCGAAAGCGUGGGGAGCAAACAGGAUUAGAUACCCUCGUAGUC
rnacentral:rRNA from 1 species